GACAGAGGGUGCAAACGUUGUUCGGAAUUACUGGGCGUAAAGCGAGUGUAGGCGGUUCGAUAAGUCGGAUGUGAAAGCCCCGGGCUCAACCCGGGAAGUGCACUCGAUACUGCCAAGCUAGAGUAUCGGAGAGGUUGGUGGAAUUCUCGGUGUAGAGGUGAAAUUCGUAGAUAUCGAGAGGAACACCGGUGGCGAAGGCGGCCAACUGGACGAAUACUGACGCUGAGACUCGAAAGCGUGGGGAGCAAACAGG
rnacentral:rRNA from 1 species